UCCCUGAUGGUCCAGUGGUUAGGACUCCAUGCUUCCACUGUGGGGGGCAGAGGUUUGAACCCUGGUUGUGGAA
rnacentral:tRNA from 1 species